UGUUUCUUCAGAAAUGACAGCAGCUGUUAGCUUUAUUGCAAAACUUUUCUUUCCAUUAGCAGAUGGCUGAAUUUCUUUCUUAUUUCCAAUUAUGAAAACAUGUCUCAACUUGUUAUUUUAGGCUAUUGUGAGCAUUUGACCUCCAGCAUAAGGCAUGAGGAGACACAAGCCUGUUUACUUGAGACUUGUUUUAUAAAAUAGUGAGUUGAUUUAGGGUCCUGGUGAUCCCUAUUCUGAUGUUCUUUUUUUAAAAAUUUAGGAAUAGCAAGUAUAUAAUUUAAAAUGUCAGGAUACGAUAAUAAAAGGGUGAAGGUAUUUUCUCUGCCCAGUAAUUAUGCUCAAAUAUUAAAGUUAUAACAUCCAAAAUAAAAACUACAGUUAUCUGGCAGUUAAAAACAUUUUCUCCAUACCACAUUGUUGGUAUAAAAGCCUCUUUUAUAUGCGUUAUCUUUGCUCAUCUAUUCACAUUUGUAUCCUCCAUGUAAAUUCUGCCCUGGUCAACCUCUCAAA
rnacentral:lncRNA from 1 species